rnacentral:siRNA from 1 species
CGAGAAGAAUGAUGUCCUCUAUG